AACGAACGCUGGCGGCAGGCUUAACACAUGCAAGUCGAGCGCCCCGCAAGGGGAGCGGCAGACGGGUGAGUAACGCGUGGGAAUCUACCCAUCUCUACGGAAUAACGCAUGGAAACGUGUGCUAAUACCGUAUACGUCCUUCGGGAGAAAGAUUUAUCGGAGAUGGAUGAGCCCGCGUUGGAUUAGCUAGUUGGUGGGGUAAAGGCCUACCAAGGCGACGAUCCAUAGCUGGCCUGAGAGGAUGAUCAGCCACACUGGGACUGAGACACGGCCCAGACUCCUACGGGAGGCAGCAGUGGGGAAUAUUGGACAAUGGGCGCAAGCCUGAUCCAGCCAUGCCGCGUGAGUGAUGAAGGCCCUAGGGUUGUAUAGCUCUUUCACCGGUGAAGAUAAUGACGGUAACCGGAGAAGAAGCCCCGGCUAACUUCGUGCCAGCCGCCGCAGUAAGAC
rnacentral:rRNA from 1 species